rnacentral:rRNA from 1 species
GGAUGAACGCUGGCGGCGUGCCUAAUACAUGCAAGUCGAGCGAACAGAUAAGGAGCUUGCUCCUUUGACGUUAGCGGCGGACGGGUGAGUAACACGUGGGUAACCUACCUAUAAGACUGGGAUAACUUCGGGAAACCGGAGCUAAUACCGGAUAACAUUUGGAACCGCAUGGUUCUAAAGUGAAAGAUGGUUUUGCUAUCACUUAUAGAUGGACCCGCGCCGUAUUAGCUAGUUGGUAAGGUAACGGCUUACCAAGGCGACGAUACGUAGCCGACCUGAGAGGGUGAUCGGCCACACUGGAACUGAGACACGGUCCAGACUCCUACGGGAGGCAGCAGUAGGGAAUCUUCCGCAAUGGGCGAAAGCCUGACGGAGCAACGCCGCGUGAGUGAUGAAGGGUUUCGGCUCGUAAAACUCUGUUAUUAGGGAAGAACAAACGUGUAAGUAACUGUGCACGUCUUGACGGUACCUAAUCAGAAAGCCACGGCUAACUACGUGCCAGCAGCCGCGGUAAUACGUAGGUGGCAAGCGUUAUCCGGAAUUAUUGGGCGUAAAGCGCGCGUAGGCGGUUUCUUAAGUCUGAUGUGAAAGCCCACGGCUCAACCGUGGAGGGUCAUUGGAAACUGGGAAACUUGAGUGCAGAAGAGGAAAGUGGAAUUCCAUGUGUAGCGGUGAAAUGCGCAGAGAUAUGGAGGAACACCAGUGGCGAAGGCGACUUUCUGGUCUGUAACUGACGCUGAUGUGCGAAAGCGUGGGGAUCAAACAGGAUUAGAUACCCUGGUAGUCCACGCCGU